UACGUAGGGUGCAAGCGUUAAUCGGAAUUACUGGGCGUAAAGCGUGCGCAGGCGGCUUUGCAAGACAGAUGUGAAAUCCCCGGGCUCAACCUGGGAACUGCAUUUGUGACUGCAUCGCUGGAGUGCGGCAGAGGGGGAUGGAAUUCCAGCGUGUAGCAGUGAAGUGCUGUAGAGAUGUGGAGGAACACCGAUGGCGAAGGCAGCCCCCUGGGCUAACACUGACGCUCAUGCACGAAAGCGUGGGGAGCAAACAGG
rnacentral:rRNA from 1 species